AUGAAGAGGAUCGCAAAUGAACUUGCGGAGUCGAUCCAUCAUCCAUCCCCUGACGCAGACAUCGAUCAAGAAUUCAAGAUCGAGAGAGCAGACCGGUCGACCAUGGCGAGGUCUGGUGGCCGGUGGGUCGUUGCGGCGGCGAUAGUGGUGCUGCUGCUGACCACGGUGUCAUCAGCAUCAGCAGCAGCAGGUGUCGAUUCAGCAACGACGGCACCGGCCAAGGUGUGGCAGCUCCCUCCAAGGAUCCCUACAGAGCCCUUCCCGGUGCCAAAGCCCCCUUCUUCGUCGUCGUGGAAGGCGGUGAAGUCGUCUCUUCCUCCUCGCCACCGCCUCCCUACGGAACCGCCGUCGGAAAAGCGUACGUAA
rnacentral:rRNA from 1 species